CCCUGAUUUAUUUCCUUUAGUAACUUGACCACUUACGGUUACAGAACUUAACGAUUGGUUGUUAGGUUUCACGUAUGCAAAAUGGCUAAAUCUACCUUCUUGCUUAUUCAAAGUAUGAAUUCGACCAUUAACUGUUACUCC
rnacentral:snRNA from 1 species